AACGUAGGACGCAAGCGUUAUCCGGAGUUACUGGGCGUAAAGCGCGGGCAGGCGGCCUGCCAAGUGGGACGUGAAAGCGCCCGGCUCAACCGGGCGAGGCCGUUGCAGACUGGCAGGCUGGAGGGCAGCAGAGGUGGGUGGAAUUCCGGGUGGAGUGGUGAAAUGCGUAGAGAUCCGGAGGAACACCAGAGGCGAAGGCGGCCCACUGGGCUGCGACUGACGCUGAGCCGCGACAGCCAGGGGAGCGAACGGG
rnacentral:rRNA from 1 species